UAGGUGAACCUGCGGAAGGAUCAUUACAGAGUGCGAGGCUUUAGGGUGCGAGUCCGCGGAGCGCAUGCCCUGCGGUGGCUGACCCUCCACCCGUGUGAACUCUUAUCUGUUGCUUUGGCGGGCCGGGCUCGACCUGCCGGCCUCGGCUGGCGCGUGCCCGCCAGAGAAGCCCCAACUCGUGCUGUCAGUGUCGUCUGAGUGAAUGUGGAAUUAGUAAAACUUUCAACAACGGAUCUCUUGGCUCUGGCAUCGAUGAAGAACGCAGCGAAAUGCGAUAAGUAAUGUGAAUUGCAGAAUUUAGUGAAUCAUCGAAUCUUUGAACGCACAUUGCGCCCCCCGGCAUUCCGAGGGGCAUGCCUGUUCGAGCGUCAGAACACCUCUCAAGCCUAGCUUGGUCUUGGGGCUCGCCGGCUCGGCGGCCCCUAAACACAGUGGCGGUGCUGUUGUGCUCUCCGCGUAGUCAUGUAUCUCGCGACAGGGCUGCAGCGGCACCCGCCAGAACCCCAUUUUCUGGAUGACCUCGGAUCAGGUAGGGAUACCCGCUGAACUUAAGCAU
rnacentral:rRNA from 1 species